rnacentral:rRNA from 1 species
CCUACGGGCGGCAGCAGUGGGGAAUAUUGGACAAUGGGGGGAACCCUGAUCCAGCCAUGCCGCGUGUGUGAAGAAGGCCCUCGGGUUGUAAAGCACUUUCAGUGAGGAAGAACGCCUGGUGGUUAAUACCCAUCAGGAAAGACAUCACUCACAGAAGAAGCACCGGCUAACUCCGUGCCAGCAGCCGCGGUAAUACGGAGGGUGCGAGCGUUAAUCGGAAUUACUGGGCGUAAAGCGCGCGUAGGUGGCUUGAUAAGCCGGUUGUGAAAGCCCCGGGCUCAACCUGGGAACGGCAUCCGGAACUGUCAAGCUAGAGUGCAGGAGAGGAAGGUAAAAUUCCCGGUGUAGCGGUGAAAUGCGUAGAGAUCGGGAGGAAUACCAGUGGCGAAGGCGGCCUUCUGGACUGACACUGACACUGAGGUGCGAAAGCGUGGGUAGCAAACAGGAUUAGAUACCCCGGUAGUC